rnacentral:ncRNA from 2 species
CUCAGGGAGAAGAGGCACGGCGGCACGCGCUAAGCUGCAAGCGCCUCGCGGGGGAAGUCCGGUCGAAGUCCGGCGCUGACCCGCAACGGUAGGCGGAGUCCCGUGAGGGUUCCGUGAGCCCGAUUACCCGCGGUGGUGUGAAGCUCCUG